GAAAUGCGAUACUUGGUGUGAAUUGCAGAAAACCGUGAACCAUCGAAUCUUUGAACGCAUAUUGCGCCCGCGGCUUCGGCCAAGGGCAUGUCUGCCUCAGCGUCGGGUUAAUACUCGCCCCACAUUCCCCUUGUGAGAAUGGUCGGGAGCGGAUCUGGCCGUCUCAGCUCUUUUUAAUCGAAGGGCUGGGUCGGCUGAAGUGCAGAGGUUUGUUCAAGGACCCGUCAAGGGCCGUAGCUGGUUAGGCAGUGAUGCUGAUACGAUUAG
rnacentral:misc_RNA from 1 species